rnacentral:tRNA from 1 species
AUGAAUUAAGUAUUUAAGUGUACAUAUCAUUUACAAUGAUAAGGACUAGUAUUAAAUUUAGAAUUCAUA